GAUGAACGCUGGCGGCGUGCCUAAUACAUGCAAGUCGAGCGAACAGACGAGGAGCUUGCUCCUCUGACGUUAGCGGCGGACGGGUGAGUAACACGUGGAUAACCUACCUAUAAGACUGGGAUAACUUCGGGAAACCGGAGCUAAUACCGGAUAACAUGUUGAACCGCAUGGUUCAACAGUGAAAGACGGUCUUGCUGUCACUUAUAGAUGGAUCCGCGCCGCAUUAGCUAGUUGGUAAGGUAACGGCUUACCAAGGCAACGAUGCGUAGCCGACCUGAGAGGGUGGAUCGCCACACUGGAACUGAGACACGGUCCACACUCCUACAGGAAGCAACAGUAGGGAAUCUUCCGCAAUGGGCGAAUGCCUGACGGAGCAACGCCGCGUGAGUGAAGAAGGUCUUCGGAUCGUAAAACUCUGUUAUUAGGGAAGAACAAAUGUGUAAGUAACUAUGCACGUCUUGACGGUACCUAAUCAGAAAGCCACGGCUAACUACGUG
rnacentral:rRNA from 1 species